CAACCUCUGACGAAGGCCGUGAAUGUUG
rnacentral:ncRNA from 1 species